rnacentral:lncRNA from 1 species
AACCAAGACGGGAUCGGCUCAUCCAAGAUACGCUGAGAAAGAGGUAGAGCAAUAUGAAAGUCGAGGUCAUUGGAGGACUUUCGACCUUCCACUUAGAGUCGGGCGAGUUGGCGGUCGAUCUCCUUAAAUUUGCGCUCGUAGUCAUUGAGCCGUCGUUGCUGAAAAAAUUCAAGGGUAGAAUCCCUUGAAGAACUUGAGGAUGGAGAAGUAGAAGAUGCAUGUGGCCUCUUUUCCUUCUUGAUGCUAUAUACACAAAA